UUAGCCUCAGAGGCAGGCCCUUGGAAAGGCCUCGCCAGCCCUGGCCCCAGGGAGAGGAGGCUAAGGAUUUGGUCUGGAAGGAGGCAGUCAAGGGGGUGGCUCAUAGGGAAGAAUUCUGGAGGGUCGGUGGCCCUUGAAGAGCCAGAGAGGAAGCCCCGGGAGGGGUUGCUGUGUAAAGGGAGUGGGGAGGACUCUGCAGGGGAUUGGGCCCAGGAAGGGGGGGUGGCGUUUGUCCUGCGGUUUGGCUUGGCCUUUGGCAGAGUCAAAGUGCAGAAGAAGAUCUCCCGUUGGGCCCCUUUUCAUUCGUUGGACAUUAUUGGUUUGGGACACUGGGCGCCACGGAUGGGGGCCGGACCGGAGAGCGACCUGGCCGGAGAUCAGCAUCACCACUCCAGGCCGCCGAGGCCCGAAGAUGGACUUGGGUGGAGGCACUUGCAAUGCUGGGCCUUGCCAGGAGGGACGAUAUUUAUCCUAGUGUGGGUGAUGCUCUUCUUGCAAUAGAAAUGCCGAAUGAUUUUAGGAAUCCUCCCCAGCUUUUUCCUUGGCGAUAUAAUGGCGUCUCAGUGAGUCCCACAGUGUGGAGUUACUCCAGAUUUACAGCCAGGCAGCUAAGAGAAGAAUCCAUUCCUCUGUGUCCUGUAUCCGC